AUUGAACGCUGGCGGCAGGCCUAACACAUGCAAGUCGAACGGUAACAGAAAGCAGCUUGCUGCUUUGCUGACGAGUGGCGGACGGGUGAGUAAUGUCUGGGAAACUGCCUGAUGGAGGGGGAUAACUACUGGAAACGGUAGCUAAUACCGCAUAACGUCGCAAGACCAAAGAGGGGGACCUUCGGGCCUCUUGCCAUCGGAUGUGCCCAGAUGGGAUUAGCUAGUAGGUGGGGUAACGGCUCACCUAGGCGACGAUCCUAGCUGGUCUGAGAGGAUGACCAGCCACACUGGAACUGAGACACGGUCCAGACUCCUACGGGAGGCAGCAGUGGGGAAUAUUGCACAAUGGGCGCAAGCCUGAUGCAGCCAUGCCGCGUGUAUGAAGAAGGCCUUCGGGUUGUAAAGUACUUUCAGCGGGGAGGAAGGGAGUAAAGUUAAUACCUUUGCUCAUUGACGUUACCCGCAGAAGAAGCACCGGCUAACUCCGUG
rnacentral:rRNA from 1 species